rnacentral:rRNA from 1 species
GUCUAUGGUCAUGCCACCCUGAACAAGCCCGAUCCCGUCUGAUCUCGGAAGCUAAGCAGGGUCGGGAUGGGAGACUACCUAGGAAGACCAGGUGCUGGAGACG